GACGAACGCUGGCGGCGUGCUUAACACAUGCAAGUCGAACGGAAAGGCCCUGCUUUUGCGGGGUGCUCGAGUGGCGAACGGGUGAGUAACACGUGAGUAACCUGCCCCUGACAUUGGGAUAACUCCAGGAAACUGGGGCUCAUACCGGAUAGGAGAUCCUGAUGCAUGGUGGGGGUUGGAAAGUUUCGGCGGUUGGGGCUGGUUUCGCUGCUUAUCGGCUUGUUUGGGGGGUAGUGGCUUACCAAGGCUUUGACGGGUAGCCGGCCUGGGAGGGUGAACGGGCACAAUGGGACUGAGAUACGGCCCAGACUGCUACGGGAGGCAGCAGUGGGGAAUAUUGCGGAAUGGGCGGAAGCCAGAUGCAGCAGCGCCGCGUGCGGGAUGACGGCCUUCGGGUUGUAAACCGCUGUGGCCUGUGACGAAGCGUGAGUGACGGUAAUGGGUAAAGAAGCACCGGCUAACUACGUG
rnacentral:rRNA from 1 species